AGAGUUUGAUCCUGGCUCAGAUUGAACGCUGGCGGCAGGCCUAACACAUGCAAGUCGAGCGGCAUCGGGAAGGUAGUUUGCUAUCUUUGCCGGCGAGCGGCGGACGGGUGAGUAAAGUCUGGGGAUCUGCCUGAUGGAGGGGGAUAACUACUGGAAACGGUAGCUAAUACCGCAUGAUGUUACGCGACCAAAGCGGGGGACCUCCGGGCCUCGCGCCAUCAGAUGAACCCAGAUGGGUUUAGCUAGUAGGAGAGGUAAUGGCUCCCCUAGGCGACGAUCCCUAGCUGGUCUGAGAGGAUAACCAGCCACACUGGAACUGAGAGACGGUCCAGACUCCUACGGGAGGCAGCAGUGGGGAAUAUUGCACAAUGGGCGCAAGCCUGAUGCAGCCAUGCCGCGUGUGUGAAGAAGGCCUUCGGGUUGUAAAGCACUUUCAGCGAGGAGGAAUGAAGCAAUGCAAAGAGUGUUGCUAAUGGACGUUACUCGCAGAAGAAGCACCGGCUAACUCCGUGCCAGCAGCCGCGGUAAUACGGAGGGUGCGAGCGUUAAUCGGAAUUACUGGGCGUAAAGAGCACGUAGGCGGUUUCUUAAGUCAGACGUGAAAUCCCCGAGCUUCACUUGGGAACGGCAUUUGAAACUGAGAGUCUAGAGUUUUGUAGAGGGGGGUAGAAUUCCAGGUGUAGCGGUGAAAUGCGUAGAUAUCUGGAGGAAUACCGGUGGCGAAGGCGGCCCCCUGGACAGAGACUGACGCUGAGGUGCGAAAGCGUGGGUAGCAAACAGGAUUAGAUACCCUGGUAGUCCACGCUGUAAACGAUGUCGAUUUGUA
rnacentral:rRNA from 1 species